UACAUUUAAGUGUGAUGCAUAUAAAUUUUUGAAAUUUAAGGGUUAAAUGACUAUUUAAAAGUGUAA
rnacentral:tRNA from 1 species